GGGCCGGUAGUUCAGCGGUAGAAUGCUCCCCUGGCUAGGGAGAGGCCCCGGGUUCAAAUCCCGGCCGGUCCA
rnacentral:tRNA from 1 species